rnacentral:lncRNA from 1 species
CUCUUCACUAGAGUCACAAUCAAUUUCAAAGGAUGUGGUCUUAGACAUUCUCAAAGUUUUCAAAAAUAUGUAAUGCAACAAACAAAUUACUUAAAAUUUCAAGAGAAGUUCCCUAGGAGACUUAAGGAAGUAAAAGAUGUCCAAGUUCACUACCAGGAAAGGGAGGUGUAUCACAAAGGAUUGCUUAAGAGCUAAGUCUUUUCUAGCCAAAGCUUAUCUUAGGUACUCUUACACCACUGCUCUCAAAAGGAAAAAAAUUGAAAUUAAAUUAAACACACACUAAACUACCAAUAUUAAGGAAAACAAUAAAUCUAAACUAUGCGGCCUAAUGAUGAAUUAAAAGGAACUUUGGUUCCCUCUUACCCACCAACUACAAAUUUCGCUUAAAUAAUAAAUGUUCAAUUUUCUUGUUAGGACAAACCCCUAACAAGUCAAAAAUACAAGUCCAAAAAGGAAAACAACUAAUAUUUUACAAUUCAAAGAAAAUACAGACAAAUCUCUCUUUCUCACCAAGUGUAUACUCUCUUGUUUUGUGUUUUAGACAAAGACUUUAAGCUUCCCUUCAAGGCCUCCUUCACCUUUGGAUGUUACUCACUGUUUUGGGCUGUCCUCCCCAUGAUCCUCACGUUUUUUU